UAGUACCAUUAUGGGUAACAGUGAGAGUGGUGUUUCAGGUAGAAGACAGUACCUAUUUAUGUCACACUGCUUAUAGCUGCUUCAAACAAACCAAGACGCCCAUAAUUGAUGACUUGGAGCAACAUACUGAACAAAAAGGUUUUAUGUAAAGCUGGCAGUUUGAACAUCACAGUACCUCAAUAUUAUGUAGUUAUGGUGACACACACCAGACUUGUGAUACAAGCUACAAAUGAUAUAGGAUUUUUCAGAAUACCAGCUUGUCUUAAACGACAAAGGGAUGAGGAGGAGGUUUGUACAGAAAAUCAGUUCAACAACACGCAGCUAUUUGUUGCUUGUAUGUUUUUACGAAUAGGGUGGAAUGUUCUCGUUUACUUCAAAUACUUUUUGGAAGGGAGAAGGUAAAUGAGAGGGAA